rfam:Gorilla gorilla gorilla genomic chromosome, chr9, whole genome shotgun sequence
GCCAGGUGUGGUGGUGCAUGCCUGUAGUACCAGCUACUUGGGAGGCUGAGACAUGAGAAUCACUUGAACCAGAGGGGCGGAGGAGGUUGCAGUGAGCUGAGAUUGCACCACUGCACUCCAGCCUGGGCAACAGAGUGAGACUCCGUCUCAAAAAANNNNNNNNNNUUUUUUGAGACGGAGUCUCACUCUGUUGCCCAGGCUGGAGUGCAGUGGUGCAAUCUCAGCUCACUGCAACCUCCUCCGCCCCUCUGGUUCAAGUGAUUCUCAUGUCUCAG